rnacentral:lncRNA from 1 species
GACAAAUAAAGCAGACCAGACACCAGCUCUCCCUUCUUGACUUUUAAUUGAUGAUCAAAUAGAUAAAUGAAGGUCCACAAACAUGGAAAAGGAGGUGCUACAUAAUCUAGCAGUGGAAUAGGUCUGCAGGAGAUCCUUGAAAGUGACAGUCCUUCAGAUUCAGAACCAGACCACAUAUGAUAGUGGAAGCCAUGGCCAGAACAGAGUUCCUUUAGUGGGUGUCUCAGAAUUCUUACAUUGAUUGAUUGACUUUUCAGCAAGGCAUGGGACAAGAUAGAGGAAAUAAAUGACUUAGGACUAUUAAUCUUUGACAGACUU